UGGGGAAUUUUGGACAAUGGGCGAAAGCCUGAUCCAGCAAUGCCGCGUGUGUGAAGAAGGCCUUCGGGUUGUAAAGCACUUUUGUCCGGAAAGAAAUGGCUCUGGUUAAUACCUGGGGUCGAUGACGGUACCGGAAGAAUAAGGACCGGCUAACUACGUGCCAGCAGCCGCGGUAAUACGUAGGGUCCAAGCGUUAAUCGGAAUUACUGGGCGUAAAGCGUGCGCAGGCGGUUGUGCAAGACCGAUGUGAAAUCCCCGAGCUUAACUUGGGAAUUUCAUUGGUGACUGCACGGCUAGAGUGUGUCAGAGGGGGGUAGAAUUCCACGUGUAGCCGUGAACUGCGUAGAGAUGUGGAGGAAUACCGAUGGCGCCGGCAUCCCCCUGGGAUAACCCUGCCGCUCCUGCACGAACGCGUGGGGAGCAAACCGG
rnacentral:rRNA from 1 species